GGCGAACGGGUGAGUAACACGUGGGUGAUCUGCCCUGCACUCUGGGAUAAGCCUGGGAAACUGGGUCUAAUACCGGAUAGGACCAUGCUUUAGUGUGUGUGGCGGAAAGUUUUUCGGUGUAGGAUGAGCCCGCGGCCUAUCAGCUUGUUGGUGGGGUAAUGGCCUACCAAGGCGGCGACGGGUAGCCGGACUGAGAGGUUGGUCGGCCACAUUGGGACUGAGAUACGGCCCAG
rnacentral:rRNA from 1 species